AGGGCCUACGGUGGAUGCCUUGGUGCUAGGCGUCGAUGAAGGGCGUGAUAAACUGCGAUAAGCUUUGGGUAAUAGUUCUAUGUGUUGAUCCAAAGAUUCCCGAAUCGGGCAACCGGAUAGACAGUUUAAUGUCUAUCGAUUGCGUUUGAAUGAAUGCAAUCGGUAACUGGGGGAAGUGAAACAUCUCAGUACCCCAAGGAACAGAAAGAAAAAUCGAUUCUCUGAGUAGCGGCGAGCGAAAUGGGAAUAGCCUAAACCAAAUAUGUGUGAUAGUCUGCGCACGUUGCAUAUUUGGUGUUGUGGGAUAUAAUCGGAGUGGCGUGCAGGUCACUCGGGAAGUUACAAAUAAGUUUUCUAGCUUAAGAACUCUGGAAUAGGUUCACCAUAGAAGGUGAUAGUCCUGUGAGCGAAAGAAAAUUUACUUCCUGGAUUUUGUUCCCGAGUACCACGGGAUAGCCAAACCUGUGGGAAUCUAGGAGGACCAUCUCCUAAGGCUAAAUAUGACCUAGCAACCGAUAGUGAAAAAGUACUGUGAAGGAAAGGUGAAAAGUUCCCCGGGAGGGAAGUGAAAUAGAACCUGAAACCGUAAUGGCCUACAAGCUGUGGAAGUGCUAGACCAAGCUUUGCUUGGGAUGCAUGACCGCGUGCCUUUUGCAUAAUGAGCCGGUGACUUACUCUGUGUAGCAAGAUUAAGCUUUUCUGAAGCGUAGUCGUAGUGAAAACGAGUCUGAAUAGGGCGCAUAGUUGCAUGGAGUAGACCCGAAACUGGGUGAUCUAUCCAUGGGCAAGGCGAAGCGUAUGUAAAAGUACGUGAAGGCCUGAACCCACCAAGGCUGAAAACUUGGGGGAUGACCUGUGGAUCGGAGUGAAAGGCUAAUCAAACCCAGUAAUAGCUGGUUCUCCCCGAAAUAGCUUUAGGGCUAGCCUUAUGUGUUCAGCGGUGGAGGUAGAGCUCUAAUUGGACUAGCGGCCCUACCAGGUUAGCAACUCCAGUUAAACUACAAAUGCCAUCGUUCCAAAGCAUAGGAGUCAGUCAGUGGGGGAUAAGCUCCAUUGACGAAAGGGAAACAGCCCGGACCGCCAGCUAAGGUCCCUAAAUACAAGUUAAGUGGCAAAGGAUGUUUUGUUACAUAGACAGCCAGGAUGUUGGCUUAGAAGCAGCCAUUCAUUUAAAGAGUGCGUAACAGCUCACUGGUCAAGCGACUUUGCACCGAAAAUUUCAGGGGCUUAAACUUGUUACCGAAGCUGCGGAUUGUCCUCGUUUACGAGGAUAGUGGUAGGGGAGCGUUCUAUAGUAGGUUGAAGGAGAAUUGAAAAACUCUCUGGACAAAUUAGAAGUGAUCAUGCCGGCAUGAGUAGCGAUAAAACAAGUGAGAAGCUUGUUCGCCGUAAGCCUAAGGUUUCCUGUGGAAGGCAAGUCCACACAGGGUUAGUCGCGUCCUAAGUCGAGGCUGAAGAGCGUAGACGAUGGGCAACAGGUUAAUAUUCCUGUACCACCACCAGGCGAUUGAAUCUAGGAGAGACGCAAACAUUAGAAUCUACUAGCGGAUGGAAGUGCUAGGUCAAGCGGACGGAGGUUCCGGUUAAUCCCGGAAAUUACCUCUGAAAGUGAUGAGGUGUCCUUAAGGACUGAACUGAUUCGGUUGUUUGCCAAGAAAAGAACUCCGAGAGGACAAAUGGUGGUGUGCGUACCGCAAACCGACACAGGUAGGCAAGGAGAAUAUCCUAAGGCGCUCGAGAGAACUCUCGCUAAGGAACUCGGCAAAAUGGCUCCGUAACUUCGGGAGAAGGAGCGCUUGAGUUGACUGGUUCGCCAGUCUAGCGAAAGCCGCAGUGAAAAGGCCCAUACGACUGUUUACUAAAAACACAGGUCUGUGCUAAAUCGUAAGAUGAUGUAUACGGACUGACGCCUGCCCGGUGCUGAAAAGUUAAGGAGAGGGGUUAGAGCUUAGGCUCGAAGCUCUGAACCGAAGCUUCAGUAAACGGCGGCGGUAACUAUAACCGUCCUAAGGUAGCGAAAUUCCUCGUCGGGUAAAAUCCGACCUGCACGAAUGGCGUAACGAUAUGGGCACUGUCUCAGCGAGAGACUCGGUGAAAUUGUAUUAUCGGUGAAGAUGCCGAUUACCCGUAAAAAGACGGAAAGACCCCGUGAACCUUUACUAUAGCUUGAUAUUGAAUUUGGAUUUAGCUUGUGUAGGAUAGGUGGGAG
rnacentral:rRNA from 1 species